UACGGGGGGGGUAAGCGUUGUUCGGAAUUACUGGGCGUAAAGGGCUCGUAGGCGGCCAACUAAGUCGGACGUGAAAUCCCUCAGCUUAACUGGGGAACUGCGUCCGAUACUGGAUGGCUUGGAUUUGGGAGAGGGAUGCGGAAUUCCAGGUGUAGCGGUGAAAUGCGUAGAUAUCUGGAGGAACACCGGUGGCGAAGGCGGCGUCCUGGACCAACACUGACACUGAUGAGCGAAAGCCAGGGGAGCAAACGGG
rnacentral:rRNA from 1 species